rnacentral:rRNA from 1 species
UACGUAGGGGGCGAGCGUUGUCCGGAGUUACUGGGCGUAAAGGGCACGCAGGCGGUGCGGCGCGUUUCGCGUGACAGCGGAGGGCUUAACUCUCCGAGGAUGCGAAAGACGGCGGCACUUGAGGGCCAGAGAGGGACACGGAAUUCAGGGUGGAGUGGUGAAAUGCGUAGAGAUCCGGAGGAACACCGAAGGCGAAGGCAGUGUCCUGGCUGGUGACUGACGCUGAGGUGCGAAAGCUAGGGGAGCGAACGGG